GACGAACGCUGGCGGCGUGCUUAACACAUGCAAGUCGAACGGAAAGGCCCUGCUUUUGUGGGGUGCUCGAGUGGCGAACGGGUGAGUAACACGUGAGUAACCUGCCCUUGACUUUGGGAUAACUUCAGGAAACUGGGGCUAAUACCGGAUAGGAGCUCCUGCUGCAUGGUGGGGGUUGGAAAGUUUCGGCGGUUUGGGAUGGACUCGCGGCUUAUCAGCUUGUUGGUGGGGUAGUGGCUUACCAAGGCUUUGACGGGUAGCCCGCCUGAGAGGGUGACCGGGCACAUUGGGACUGAGGGAGGGCCCAGAAGGCUACGGGAGGCAGCAGGGGGGAAUAUUGCACAAUGGGCGGAAGCCUGAUGCAGCAGCGCCGCGUGCGGGAUGACGGCCUUCGGGUUAUAAACCACUUUCGCCGGUGACGAAGCGUGAGUGACGGUAAUGGGUAAAGAAGCACCGGCUAACUACGUG
rnacentral:rRNA from 1 species